CAAUGUUAAAACUAGUAACAUGAAGCAGCCCUUCUCCCUAAUGCAAGCAAAUACCAAAAUGGACUAACCAUUGGUUCUUAACGUCCAUGAGCUCAACCUAGCAACACUCCCUUCGAAAACCCUAUGCCCAAAUUACGUUAACCUUACACUAGAGCAUUCCUGGAAAGAUAAAAAGAAAAAGAAGGAACUCGGCAAACUAAAAUCCCGCCUGUUUACCAAAAACAUCGCCUCUUGACACAUACUCCCUCCUAUAAGAGGUCCAGCCUGCCCAGUGAAAUUUUAACGGCCGCGGUACUCUGACCGUGCGAAGGUAGCAUAAUCACUUGUUCUUUAAAUGAGGACUAGUAUCAACGGCAUCACGAGGAUUUUACUGUCUCCUUUUUCCUAUCGGUGAAACUGAUCUCCCCGUGAAGAAGCGGGGAUAAUAUUAUAAGACGAGAAGACCCCAUGGAGCUUUAAACCCAGUAACACCUCAAACACACCCCCUCCCAAAAAGUUUUAAUGUUCUGUUCACUGGUUUUAGGUUGGGGCGACCGCGGAGUACAACUUAACCUCCACAGCGCACGGAACUUAUUCCUUACCUGAGAGCUACACCUCAAAGAAUUAUCACAUUAACGUAAAAUGAUCCAAUAUUUUCCUUAUUGAUUAAUGAACCAAGUUACCCUGGGGAUAACAGCGCAAUCCAUUUCUAGAGCCCCUAU
rnacentral:rRNA from 1 species